UGCUGCUUGCCUCCCCAGAUAGCUUAU
rnacentral:piRNA from 1 species